GAUGAACGCUGGCGGCGUGCCUAAUACAUGCAAGUCGAGCGAACUGAUUAGAAGCUUGCUUCUAUGACGUUAGCGGCGGACGGGUGAGUAACACGUGGGCAACCUGCCUGUAAGACUGGGAUAACUUCGGGAAACCGAAGCUAAUACCGGAUAGGAUCUUCUCCUUCAUGGGAGAUGAUUGAAAGAUGGUUUCGGCUAUCACUUACAGAUGGGCCCGCGGUGCAUUAGCUAGUUGGUGAGGUAACGGCUCACCAAGGCAACGAUGCAUAGCCGACCUGAGAGGGUGAUCGGCCACACUGGGACUGAGACACGGCCCAGACUCCUACGGGAGGCAGCAGUAGGGAAUCUUCCGCAAUGGUCGAAAGUCUGACGGAGCAACGCCGCGUGAGUGAUGAAGGCUUUCGGGUCGUAAAACUCUGUUGUUAGGGAAGAACAAGUACAAGAGUAACUGCUUGUACCUUGACGGUACCUAACCAGAAAGCCACGGCUAACUACGUGCCAGCCGCCGCCGUAAGAC
rnacentral:rRNA from 1 species